ACUUUCUAAUAAGUUAGCAUUGAUAUAGUUGUCACUUGACGUUUUAUAAGUGUUCGUCGAUGUAAACGUCUUAAUCGUGCAGUUUUAUCUCAAGACACACCGUGUUAAUGAUUUUUAACAGAUAUACAAUUGACAACACUUAUGCAUCGGAUACGUACAGAACAUACAAGACCGAAGUACCAUCAUAUUUACACAAUCGGCCGCAACAUAUUCAUCAUUGCAUGAAGAGAUUGUACAACGCUUCGGAAAUAUCCUCCAAUGAUAUUGGUCGAGUUGACACAUCUUCAUUUACUGCUGGAAAUGUAUUAAAUUCUCUAGAACAGAAUUUCAUUAGGUCUUGCAAACAUGAAGAAGGAGUCCGGAUUUUAAAACCUCCUCUUUCUUUAAAACUUAAGAAGAGAAAAAUGCCGUCAUCAUUUGUUUGUGAUGAAUUGCCUCGAAAGUAUCCUAAGCCAAACAAAUACCAAGGCAGACAUGGCUCAGUGGAUGGUGUCGCUACAUGCUGUGAUCAAAUAGGAUAGUGUCGCUACAUGCUGUGACUGGGUUGCAACCCAACCAAGAAGCAUCUACCAAUUGCAGCAUCAGCAUACCUGAAAAUGUGAGAACAACCGAAGAUUCACAUGAUAAAAUGCUGUCAUGUAACACUGUAGCUAAAAAUCACCUUAUUGACAAGGCAUUACAAUGUGGUCCAUAUUCUGUGACAUAUCUUCAACUGUUGUCAUUGGAAAUGAACAUAGGUUCACAACAGAAACAAGAAAUAUGGGCAUGUGAUAAGCGGUUUCGUGUUGGUUGGCUGUAUGAUCAAAUAAUCGACAGCUAUCUUUGGUGUUUAUGCCAAAAGAACAGUCAGGUCAUGUAUGCUAAUUCAGCGGUUGCACAACUUCCUAAACACAAUCGCUCGGUGGAGCGACUGUGGACAAACUCUACAUUAAAAAAAAAACAUUCAUUUUUAUCCCAUAUAACCCAAGUGGAAUUCAUUGGGUGUUGCUAGCUGUCAACAUCAAGAACAAGCAGUUGCUUUACUUGGAUCCUAUGAAGAAAACAUUAAAUGCUUCAAAAGAAGCAGAAACAGCCAAGCUGCUUUUAAACAAAGUGAUAAAAUCAAAGUUUGGUUUGACCAUCGCAUCAGUCAACACAUUGUCAACAAGUCGUACAUUGCAAAGUGACUCAAUGAGCUGCGGUGCUAUUAUCUGCAUGUAUGCAAGGUGGCUUGCAGAAGGAAAAUCAUUGUUUUAAAAAUCAAACAAAACAUUUGUUUGUCCAAAGAUCCAGCAAUAACUCUUUCACAUUGCGUGUAGAAAAUUGGUCAAUGCCUUGGGUAAUUCCCAGGCACAUAGCCUACUUGUAAUUAUAUUUUUACGUAAAGUUGACUAUGCAUACUUCAGGUAUAAUAUGGCAGUGCUUUUGGGUUUUAAUGUUCUAACCCUGUUGCAUAUGCGAAGGUCCUGAAAAACCUAACGAUCACGCAUAAUGGCGGCCUCCUGGGUGCGUGGUGGAACAGCCAGAU